rnacentral:lncRNA from 1 species
UUUAGCUGAUUAUGUAAAUGGUCCUGAGAAGGGCAAUACUUUGUAACAUUAUUGGUCAUAGCUGCCUUGGUAUGAAGGAUUUUUUGUUGUUGCUGUCGUUUUUACUCAGAGAUGUAUUGUGCAAAUAGUUAUAGGAUGUCUGAGGAAAUACGUUAAUGGAUAGAGACUUGUUCUGGAUCAAGCAGAACGCAUCUUGGUGCUCAUCUUUCUUGGCACUGGCAGCACCUGCAGAGGAUAGAAAUAACACUAGAGUGUGAGUUGGAAAUCUAGGUUUACGUUCCAUCUUUGCCACCAGUUAGCAAAUCCCUUUUUGAAAAAGGAGGGAAUUUAGAUUAGGAGUUCUCAAACUUUAAGAUGCGUAAGAACUAUGCAAAGGAGUGUGUUAAAAAUUCAGAUUUGGGAUCAUCCUUCUGUUUUUAUCUUUUGAUUCAAUAAGUUUAGAUAAGGCCCAGGAAUCUUCAUGUUAAGGAGUACCUCAAAGGGAUCUAUAUGGUUUAAAGUUCUCUCUUUGAGAAAAUGGAUUAGAUGAUUCCGAAGCUCUUUUCCAGCUCUAAAAUUCUUUCUGGUGGCUUUACUUGUGUUUUGGGGAUGGGAAUAACUCAUUUAUGUAUGUUUAUUUCCUUUUUUCUCUUCCCCUCCCUUGUUCAUAAUCUCUCUUUCUCUUCCUAUCUUCUCCACUGUCUCAUCUGCAAGGUAAAAGGGGAUUCAGUGGGAACAGGAAUGAGUCAGUGAACACUAACUCUGAAAGUACAGGUAGGAUCCCUGUUGGCACAUGUUACUGGGUUUUAGGUGGAGAGAUGCCGUGUUCACCUCACAGUGAUACAUGACACAUGGGAUGUAUGUUCUAACAGGAGAUGCAUACCUCAGCAGGGGCCGGGGGCAGUGUCACAUCACAGGGAGAGGUUAAGAGACUCUUUUUUUUUGCCUCCUUUAUUAUUAUUAUUAUUACUAUUAUCAUUAUUAUUAUUAUUUGUAUGUGAGUAUGUGUAUGUCUGUGAGUGUGUGUGGUAAGAAUACUUAACAUGAUAGCUAUCCUCUAAGUAAAUUUUAAGUAUGUAACACAUUAUUUUUAACUAUAGGCAUCAUGCUGUAUAGUGAAUUUCCAGAACGUAUUUAUCUUUUCAUAAAUGAAACUUUGUGCCCUUGAUCCCCUUCCCAAUUCCCUCUCCAUCCAAUCCCUGGAAACCGUAUUCUACUCUUGCUUGUAUGAGUUGAAAUAUUUUCGAUUGCUUAUAUAAGUGAGAUGAUAUUGUGUUUGUCCUUCUAUGCCCAGCUUAUUAAGAGACUCUCAAAUGGAAAUAUGAAAUGCCCUCUUUCUUUUUUCUCUCCCCUCACUUGUGAGCCAUUGCAAUGCCACUAGCAAACUGGAAGAGCUGAAAGAAUAUAGAUAGUGAGAGAUGUGGUUCCACUCAUACUUUGAGGUGGCCAUUCAAACCAGUUGCAGAUACAGCUGUUCUCAACCUGGCUGCACAUUAGUAUCCCCUGGGCUGCUUAAAUCAUGCCUUGAUCAUGCCAUAGAGUAAUUCAGUCCAAACCUCUGAGGGUGAGUGUGGUUAUUGGCUUCUUUUAAAAUAUAUCAGAUGAUUUUAAUGUGUAGCCAAGAUUAAGGUGCCUACUGCCAUGGGAGGGUUACUUAGAGAUGUAAGAGUAAUAAGACUUAAUUAGUCUUCUAGCAUGCUGCUAAGCUGCUGGCCAGUACCAAAGGCCAGGGUAGGCCUGAAAAUUUGUUUUUGCUGUUCCCUUUUUCCAGUUGGCACUUAGCCCUCCUCACCUGGGAGUUCUAACUUCUCUUAAUGAAGCAUGUGCUUAUGAUGCCAACCUCCAUUUAGACUGUCUUGUCUGCACCUUCUCUGGCUCAGGCUCUGUUCUCUGCUUCCAGCUGUGGUAGGGAGCACUCAGUUUGAGUUUGUCCAUGAUAAGAGUUUGCUUUAAAGAAUCAAGAGGGUUUUGGCCUUUAUUGUAGUUGAAGGCUUUGAGCCCAGUCACUGAUAUUGUCUCAGUUUUAGCUUUUGCAUGUCCCGCCAAUUCCAGCAAUAAAAACCAAGUAUGUGAAAUGAGAAUUUUCUCUGAUUUAGCCUGAGUCUCAAUUCAUUUUCUUUCAAUUCUCAACUCUAGUUACCCACUGAGGAGAACAUUUUGGUCUAUAUUUACUGGUCUCCUUUUAUAUGUUGUUGGGAACUUGCUCCUUUAUACCUGUCUUUAGAAACAGCAGAAUCUCUGGCAUGCUCAGUUUCUUUGCUUGCUCUCAGCAAUGAAGUGGUCAGAAGGUGUUUUUUUCCUCUCUCUCUGGGAAAGGUUAUGUAAACAAUUUGUAUUGUAUAAUGAGCUUCUGAAUCCAUACUUUGAUUUGAUUCUUACAGUAGGUCCAUUCAGUAGGCUAGGCGUGAGCCAUUAGCAUUCUUUUAAAGUUGAGAAGAUUGAGGUCCAGAGAAGUCCCUAGGCCCAGGUUUCUGCAGUCAGACUCAAAGCCUAUUUUCUGCAUAGCACCUAACACUAUGAGAUAUGUUUCGUAUUGUUUACUUAUUAUCUGUAUUUUCUGCCAUUAGAAGGUAAAUUCCAUAUGAACAGGGCCCUUACCUUUCACAUUCACUUCUGUAUUCCCCAGAGACUAGAUUAGUGCUAGGCAUAUAGUGAAUGCUUUUGUUGAGUCUUGAAAGAAACUUCAACCUUCUUGUCCCAAAUCCUGUGGUAUUUUAAAUUCUUUAUGGCUCCUCUUCUUUUGCUAGUGUUCAAAGAGCUAGAUGGAAAAAUGCAUAAAUGGUCAUGUAACUGGUAAGUAGUGGAGCUGGAACCAGAACCCAGGUUGUUUAAUUCUCAGAAUAGAUUUGUGUUACUUUAUUUUUGGAUACUGGCAGCUUUAGUGUUAUGCUGUGUUUUAGAAAGAUCUUUGAAGGAUGCUAUGCAUACUGUAAGGCCACAGACAGAACCAACCUUCUACAAAAGGUGUGGGGUUGGAAAGUUUGUCAUAUUUGUCUACACAUUUUACUCCCCCUUUACCUGAGCUGAAGUUUGGUAGUCAGUGUUCUGAGGUUAUUUAGUAUUUCCAUUGUGGAGCCCCACUCUAGCCUGCCCCCCAGCAUUUGAAAUUCCUUCUCUCCUAUCAAAUUUUCACUGUCCUUUGACCCAUUCUUAGCUCAGAUGUCAGUUGCUAACUGGACAGAGUCACCUUACCUUGGGGUCUCAAUGUCCUUACUAAAUAACAAGGUUAAUAUAUCCUUACCAAGGUCAUCUGAGUGGUUUGAAUAUAUAUAGUAUCAAUGUGUAGUUUAUAAAGCAUUUUACAGAUAUGAGCUAUUAAUUUUUUCUAGGAAACUGCUUAAUAUGGCGAACAAAUCCCUCUAGAGCCCUAAGCCUUUUUAUAAUAGUUUAAGUUACCUUUUCUGAGCUUCCUAGUUAAAUUUUAACAAAGAUAUUAAAUACUUGCAACCUAACAGAGUAAUUCCUAUGGUGGGAAUUUAAGGCUCUUGGCAGAUCUGUGAAGAACAAAUUUUUAUUUGGGGAUAGGAGAAGGAGAGAUUUUUAGUGCUUUUCUGUUCACUCUCUUUGUAACAUGCCUCACCUUGACUCUUUGUGCAUCUUAUAUAGCUGCUACAUGUGCUGAAUCACAAAUUGGUCAGGACUGCCAAUAUCUUGUGAUGGCCAAUUUGGCUUGAAAUGAUUUGAACUAAUCCUAGCUAAUGUCCAUUUGGUUCACUUCCGUAAGGUUUCUUAGUAUAGUUCUCCUAUGCUGGAGCACAGUGGGCAACAGAUCUCCACUGUGCAGGUGCAGCUGAAUUGGGACAAAGUGUUUCUUUGCCUGCUGGUGUUCUGUGACUGGGGGACCAGUGCCAAUGAGGUGAAAGGUAAGGGUUAGAUAGUGUACAGAAAACCUCAUUUGAAAAAGCCAAGGCCAAACAGGAAGGUAUCUGAUUCAUAUGGCAACUUGCCUCAGUGUGUAUUCAGUGGGGCCCUUUUGUCAAAAUCUGUCAACAUGUACCUUUUGCAGAGUUGUGAGACCCAGGGGUUGGUGUCUUUCCAGGCAUUUUCCUGUCAGAGGCAUCAUUCCAGAAAAUUAUAGAGUGAGGAUUGAAACUAAGAUUAUAGGUUUAAGCAGCCCUUGCCUUCCUCUAAACUAGGGACAGCCUAAGCAAUGCCCAGAAGCUAAAUUUGGUCUUAGUCACUAUGAAAAUUGAAAGUAAUGCUUUACAAUUAAGAGUUUGGAAACAGCCUUUAAUUUAUAUUCAAUAAAAUAUUGAUGAGGUGGGAGAAUGUUAUGCUGAGGGCUCAGGGCGCCUGUAUUGAAGAUUCAUAGAGGCUUUUAAAGCUUUGAUACUAGUUGGAGUGCGGCUCAAGACCCAGGGAAGUCUUGAGGUACUGAGAUUGAUUGGUAAUCUCAGGUCCUGUGAAAUGGAGUAUUCAACAUCCUUGUAGCAAGAAUCACUAGAAUUACUGCAUAGAAAGGCAAAAUGGAAGCUCAGAUUCGUGAUAGGUAAGGUGGAUUUCAAAUAAAUGGAGCUUUGAAAUAAAUAGGGAGUUUAAGAAAUGGGGAUAUUCUGAAGGACUGUGGAAAUUUAAAAAGCAUGGUAAAUCCAUCUUAGCCUGAAAUGAAAAGAAGGAAGGACUAGUCCAGACAGUGCAGGUGGGACCAAAUUGAAAAAGAAAACAACAAAUAAAAAUGUUGCAAGACAGCCUGUAAGUUCCCACUCAGGAAGAGAAUCCCAGCCUAUCAAGAAACUGAAGAAAUCCUGAACCUCACAAUCUCUUUUGGAAGAGCCAGAAGUAAAAGGGAAGGUAGCAGGAUUCUGAUCUAGAGACCAGAUCUGGUCUGGGUCUGGCCAUGGGUGGAGAAGUUUCACUAUAUAAAGACAUGAAGAAAAAGUUCCUUUGCCAGCAUUGCUUAUGGCUCUGGAUUCUGCUUUUUUACUUCUAGGUUCUUGAAUGACAGGAAACUAGCUUAUGUUGUGUGUGUUUGGAGGUAUGAAUAUUGUAUUUAUGUUUUUAGAAUGGUGUAUAUGUGUGUAUUUUGGGACAGAGGAACGUGGAAGAAAGAAGCAUUUAAAAUUCUACUGCUCUGAGAUAACCACUUUACAGUCACCAUCCAUUUGUGUGGCUCAUUAUGUGUGUACACAUAUAAAUUACGUUACUUUUCAUAAAUGACAUCAUAGUCUAAUACUUUAUUGUUUAGGAUACCUUUUGAGGGACUUGUCCUUACCCUCUUGUCUUCAUUCUCAUUACACUCCCCCAAGGUGACCAAAGUUAACAGUCUGACAUAUAUCCUUUUAUACUUCUCUCUAGGUUAAUUUCAUAUAAUUCAAACACACACACACAUAGAGGUUUGUUUGGUCAUUCUUUUAUAAAAUUGGUCAGUACGUUAUACAUUUUCUCUCUUUUAUUUGUUAAUCAGUACCCAGUGGAUUUGGUGAAUUUUAUGCAAUUCUUGUAAUGACAGCAUAGUAGCUUAUGAUGUGAAUGUAUGACAGUCUAUUUAAUCAUUUCCAUAUUAAUUCAUUCUGGUUGCCAUAACCAUUGGUGCUAAUACAAACUAUUCUUGUAUUAGUUUAAACCACAAGAAAUUGCUGUUUCUGUAUACUCAAAAUAAUCAUCCAU